CCUACGGGAGGCAGCAGUGGGGAAUUUUCCGCAAUGGGCGCAAGCCUGACGGAGCAACGCCGCGUGAGCGAAGAAGGCCUUCGGGUUGUAAAGCUCUGUCUGGGGGGACGAAGACCUGACGGUACCCCCGAAGGAAGCCCCGGCUAACUACGUGCCAGCAGCCGCGGUAAU
rnacentral:rRNA from 1 species